GUCCAUAGGCAUACCACACUGGAUACACCACAUCUUGUCUGAUCUUGCAAGCUGAGCAGGGUUGGGCCUGAUUAGUACUUUUAGAUGUGAGAAUGCAUGGGACUACCAGGAGCUUUAAGUA
rnacentral:rRNA from 1 species